rnacentral:rRNA from 1 species
AGAGUUUGAUCCUGGCUCAGAAUGAACGCUGGCGGCAUGCCUAACACAUGCAAGUCGAACGAAGCCUUCGGGCUUAGUGGCGCACGGGUGCGUAACGCGUGGGAAUCUGCCCUUGGGUUCGGAAUAACAGUUAGAAAUGACUGCUAAUACCGAAUGAUGUCGUAAGACCAAAGAUUUAUCGCCCAGGGAUGAGCCCGCGUAGGAUUAGCUAGUUGGUGUGGUAAAGGCGCACCAAGGCGACGAUCCUUAGCUGGUCUGAGAGGAUGAUCAGCCACACUGGGACUGAGACACGGCCCAGACUCCUACGGGAGGCAGCAGUGGGGAAUAUUGGACAAUGGGCGAAAGCCUGAUCCAGCAAUGCCGCGUGAGUGAUGAAGGCCUUAGGGUUGUAAAGCUCUUUUACCCGGGAUGAUAAUGACAGUACCGGGAGAAUAAGCUCCGGCUAACUCCGUG